rnacentral:tRNA from 1 species
GGGCUCGCUUUUGGAAACGCUGCCCGUUACGUCGCCUUCACACGGCGGAGGUCAGGAGUUCGAAUCUCCUCGAGCCCA